CCUACGGGCGGCUGCAGUAGGGAAUCUUUCACAAUGGGCGAAAGCCUGAUGGAGCAACGCCGCGUGCAGGAUGAAGGCCUUCGGGUUGUAAACUGCUUUUAUAAGCGAGAAAUAUGAUGGUAAUUUAUGAAUAAGGAUCGGCUAACUACGUGCCAGCAGCCGCGGUCACACGUAGGAGCCGAGCAUUAUCCGGAGUGACUGGGUGUAAAGAGUGGCGUAGGUGGCAUAAUAAGUAGCUAGGGGAAUGUGGUGGCUCAACCAUUCAGACUAUUAGCGAGACUGUUAAGCUCGAGACCGUUAGGGGUGAGUGGAAUUUGUGGUGUAGGAGUGAAAUCCGUAGAUAUUGGAAGGAACACCAAUGGCGUAGGCAGGUUACUGGAACGGUUCUGACACUAAGGCACGAAAGCGUAGGGAGCAAACGGGAUUAGAUACCCCAGUAGUC
rnacentral:rRNA from 1 species